GACGAACCGAGCGAACGUUGUUCGGAAUCACUGGGCUUAAAGGGCGCGUAGGCGGGCUGCCAAGUCCGUGGUGAAAUCCCCCGGCUCAACCGGGGAAGGGCCUCGGAUACUGGCGGCCUCGAGGGGGGUAGGGGCGUGCGGAACUGUGGGUGGAGCGGUGAAAUGCGUUGAUAUCGGAAGGAACGCCGGUGGCGAAAGCGUUCUGCUAGACCUGUACUGACACUGAGGGACGAAAGCUAGGGGAGCGAAUGGG
rnacentral:rRNA from 1 species